GGGGGGGGCAAGCGUUGUUCGGAAUUACUGGGCGUAAAGGGCUCGUAGGCGGCCAACUAAGUCAUACGUGAAAUCCCUCGGCUUAACCGGGGAACUGCGUCUGAUACUGGAUGGCUUGAGUUUGGGAGAGGGAUGCGGAAUUCCAGGUGUAGCGGUGAAAUGCGUAGAUAUCUGGAGGAACACCGGUGGCGAAGGCGGCAUCCUGGACCAACACUGACGCUGAGGAGCGAAAGCCAGGGGAGCAAACGGGAUUAGAUACCCCGGUAGUCCUGGCCCUAAACGAUGAAUGCUUGGUGUGGCGGGUAUCGAUCCCUGCCGUGCCGAAGCUAACGCAUUAAGCAUUCCGCCUGGGGAGUACGGUCGCAAGGCUG
rnacentral:rRNA from 1 species